AGGUAGCACACGUGCACUCCGGCUUCUGCGCCCGCCCGCGCCCACCUGGUGGCUGAUUCGCUCCGUUUCGGUAGCC
rnacentral:sRNA from 1 species